AUUGAACGCUGGCGGCAGGCCUAACACAUGCAAGUCGAACGAGUGGCGGACGGGUGAGUAAUGUCUGGGACACUGCCCGAUGGAGGGGGAUAACUACUGGAAACGGUAGCUAAUACCGCAUACCAUCGGAUGUGCCCAGAUGGGAUUAGCUAGUAGGUGGGGUAACGGGUCACCUAGGAGACGAUCCCUAGCUGGUCUGAGAGGAUGACCAACCACAGUGGAACUGAACCACGGUCCAAGCUCCUGCGGGAGGCAGCAGAGGGGAAUAAUGCACAAUAGGCGCAAGAGGGAUACAGCCAUGCCGCGUGUAUGAAGAAGGCCUGCGGGGUGUAAAGAACAUUCAACGAGGAGGCGUAACGCGCAGAAGAAGCACCGGCAAACUCCGUGCCAGCAGCCGCGGUAAUAC
rnacentral:rRNA from 1 species